GAAGAACCUCUUCCUGAUGUUUAGGCUAAACCUCCACUGCCUCAGCUUGACACCAUUCCCGCGGAUCCUAUCACUGGUGAUUAAGGAGAAUAGAUUGGCGCUUACCCCUCCACUUUUGGGCCCUCUAAUAUAUCGUCAGCAACACUGAUCAAUCAGUCAGAAAUAACAGUGGGAGGAGAAAAUGAACACCUUUUAAAAAAACAGUCUCCAAACUACCAAACACUGUGCCAAUAGCUGUGUUUAAUUUUUGGUAGUUUGUGGUAAGGAAAAAACUGUGUUUAAAUACAUGAUGAUGAAGAAGUGCUGGGCACCUACAGCUACACUUAAUGCAGUCUAGAAUCACAGAUACAUGGUACCUUUGAAAAUCAGGCUCUAAAAAGACAAGCAUAAUUUAGCUACAUGAACUUGGAAGAAGCUGGAAAGGCAUCAUGUCAUACAUGUUGUCCAUGCCCUGUGUGCAUCAAGGGGCUCUGCAGCCUUGUCCCAUGUCUCCUGGGACUUGGGAUGCCUGGACUCACAGCCAGCAAAUGGGCAACCUGGGAUCAGACUGCUGAGAAAACAAUCCAUGUGGAAGAGGUUGGCUGGGAUCUCCUUUUCUCUGCCCAGCAGCUGCAGUCAAGCUCAGGCCCUUAACGUGGAUGUCUUCUCCAGCUGUGCCGCAGGAACGUCAGUGCCCAGCCUUGCACCUUGCUCAUCCUCACCCCAACCUGCUGACUUUCCUUCUCAGCUUGGCCUCCAUCCUGCUUCAUCACCAUGGGCUUCUCUGGUGAUCCCUGGGUGGUGACUGACACCAGGUACUGCCCCCAGUCUUGUGGGAGGGGGUUGUUGGUGUUGUCACUUCUCUGGUGGCCUUGUUGUCAUCCUCGGUUCUAUCUUGCCAGCCCUUACAGGACAUCCAGCUCUUGCUGCUCCCCGACAUGCUUUCUGGUUUCAGUGUUGUAUUGUCAGCUCAUCAAGUCAUUCUGGAUUGAUAAAUAAAUCUACAUAUACUAUAGCA
rnacentral:lncRNA from 1 species